UACGGAGGGGGCUAGCGUUGUUCGGAAUUACUGGGCGUAAAGCGCACGUAGGCGGACUGUUAAGUCGGGGGUGAAAUCCUGGGGCUCAACCUCAGAAUUGCCUCCGAUACUGGCAGUCUCGAGUGCGGGAGAGGUGAGUGGAAUUCCCAGUGAUAGAGGUGAAAUUCGUAGAUAUUGGGAAGAACACCGAUGGCGAAGGCAGCCAUCUGGACCGACACUGACGCUGAGGCGCGGAAAGCGUGGGGAGCAAACAGG
rnacentral:rRNA from 1 species